CCCGGCUCCUGCGUGUUCUGGGCAGCUGCUGGUUUAGGAGGAAGGAAUGCGGGAAUUUCACCUCAUUUUGGGCACCCGAGGCUAGAUCCAGGCUGAACCCCCGCGCCGGUAGCGCGGCUGAGCCCUGCAGCCCCGGGGCCAGCAGCGCAGGCAGCGAUUCCCUCAGCUCCACCGCCCUCUGCGGGUCUGCAGCGCUAUUUCCAGCCGGAUCCCAGGGAAAUCCAAUGGCCACGGCCGCGCUCUCAGCUCCGCAGGGAAGCGAGGGCCCCACACCGAGUCCUGCGAGCAGAGAGUAAGCGCUCUUCUUCCAUUUAUGACUCAAUCUGGGAGAGAAAGCACAGUAAAACAGGAUGAGAGAAAUGGCACCGUCGUCUUUGUGCAACACUCGCGUCCCCAGCUCGCUGCUGGCUCGGUCCUGCCCAUCCCAGCAGCAAAACCACUCUGUAUCCCCAAAAGCUCAUUACCAAUGGGGUCAAACCAGGGGGUGCAGCCUAAUUCCAGUCCUUGAUAAUGAGUCAGGGUUAAAUAGCAGGUGGGUACCCAGGAUUUUCCUUGUUUUAUGGCCAUCAUCUCCCCCAGGCGCUGGGUGAGGCUCAGCACAGGGCUUGCAGUCCAGGUUCUGCCUGGCAUUUUUGGGGCAAGCCUGAUGAAGCCAUGGAGCAUCUGCUUGGGAAUGAAUGUUGGCCUGUGUUACCGAGCUGGCAGCAUCCAGCAGCAUUGCAGGGCUAUAAAUAAGGCCCUUUGGAGAGGAACCUGCACAGGGCCCGUGCCGCUGGAUCCAAGCACAGCCUGGCCAGCCAAAAAUUCACCCAGGAGGAAGAAAAAAGCAUCCAGGAAAGACCUCCCUGCUGGAAGAUGCGUGGGGCCGUGCCAUAGAAGUGGGAAGCAAACAACCACCCUCAGUAAGAGUGAGGGUUUUGGGCACAAAAGCUUCACUUCAGCCUCCAAGAGAAGCAGCAGACAGAAACUCAGGCUGGGAAAAGCCUCCUGGGCUCAGUUUUGGCAGCAUGGGAUGGUCCCCGUGGUGUGGACAGGGAUUAAAAUGCAGAAAAAGGGAUGCAAACCUCCUGCUAUCAGAAAUAAAACAAGUCAUGAGCAGCUCCAGCCCAAGUAAAAAGUAUUUAUUAUUUCAAUAAUGAUAAGCCCCACAUGUAGGGUGAAAAAAUAGUUACAAAAAAAUUCCCCCCAUCCUUCCUUUUACAUAUAAAUAUUAAAAAUCCCUCUACAGCUUUGCAAGAAGGUGCCCCACGAGACAACACGCAGCACCUGAGCUACUGUCAGUGGUUUCCUCUUAAAACUGCAAAAAGAACAUUACAAAUAACCCUUACAAAAGCCCCUUGCCCCCAUCCCAGUGCCAAACCGGCCAUGGAAGGACGGAGGUUUGGGGCCAAGGGGUGAUUUUGGGGUUUGCAGUUUCCCAGUAUAGAGGCCGGGCACAGCAGAGCACAAAGGAGCAGCAGGAACCGCCUGCACUUGUCUGGGGAAGCUUUUGGGGCAGGAACUCACAGCUGAGCUCACUUCAGAGGGGACAGGAGGGCGCUCCGGGUGCUUCACCCACAGUCACCACCUCGGUGCCACCUUUGGCACGCCAGCUUGUCCCUCUGAAAUGAAAGCUAAUCCCAGGAGCUGCAGCAGAGCCUCUGCCCUGCAGCAUCCUCCAGCCCUGUCCCCAGUGUCCCCAUCAGCAUCGUCCAAGGACAGUCCCUCCCAGAGAAACCAGGAUCCAGGGCUGGGUAGUUGCAUCCACAGCCCCAGCCAGCUUCACCAGCGGAGAGCCUGUCCCCAGUCACUGUCACCACAGGGUGCUGCACCUCCAGCUGCACUGAGUAAAAAAGAAUUAAUAAAUAUACUCAUCUUUUACUUAAAAAAGAAAA